rnacentral:rRNA from 1 species
GAUGAACGCUGGCGGCGUGCCUAAUACAUGCAAGUCGAGCGAACAGACGAGGCGCUUGCUCCUCUCACGUUAGCGGCGGACGGGUGAGUAACACGUGUAUCACCUACCUAUAAGACUGGGAUAACUUCGGGAAACCGGAGCUAAUACCGGAGAAUAUAUUGAACCGCAUGGUUCAAUAGUGAAAGACGGUUUUGCUGUCACUUAUCGCUGGAUCCCGGCCGCAUUAGCUAGUUGGUAAGGUCACGGCUUACCAAGGCAACGAUGCGUAGGCGACCUGAGAGGGUGAUCGCCCACACGGGAGCUGAGACACGGUCCAGACGCCUACGGGAGGCAGCAGUAGGGAAUCGUCCGCAAUGGGCGGAAGCCUGACGGAGCAACGCCGAGUGAGUGAUGAAGGUCUUCGGAUCGUAAAACUCUGUUAUUAGGGAAGAACAAAUGUGUAAGUAACUAUGCACGUCUUGACGGUACCGAAUCAGAAAGCCACGGCUAACUACGUG